GACGACACUGCGAGCAAGGCCCGCGCCGGGGGUCGCUGUCAGGCAGACCUCCGCUCCGGCGUGUGCCCUGGGGCACCUGCAGGCAAGAGUGCACACCCCGACUUGGCCGAGGGCUCACGGAGGAGAGGAGGGGGUCGGUGCGGUCCUAGGGAGAGUCCCGGGCCGCGAGGGAGGAGUUCGCGGUCUUGUCCCCCCACCUCUUUGGUUUAGGCCUUUUUAAGUGCGGCCUCAGGGUUUUGCUUUGAGCACCCCCUCGGCCCCCCCAAGUGGAUGCCCAUUUCACCUCCACCAUGUGAGCGCACUGGAGAUUCUGCCUUAAUGGAGGCGGAGUGUUCCCUGAAGACCUGAAUGCUCCCUGGAAAGCUGCUCCCACGUGUGGGCUUCCAAGGAUCGAGACUGUGCCUGGCCUGUCCGGGCAUGGCCCAGCUUAGGGUCUGUUCAGGUGGAACAGCUAAUUGCUCUCUCUUUGGACUUAGCUGUUCUGCCCCCGAGCGCACCCCAAGGCCCGGUGGCGUUGGUGAAACUAGCACUAAGGGAAGGCGUUGAUGGGAGGAGCCUGUCCUUUCUAAGGGUACACUUGGAACUGAAGUUGGGGAGACAGAAAAAUACGUGGGGGUAGUCGAGUGGUCCUCGGUAAGUGAGGGAAACAGGCAGUCAGGAAGUAGAUGGUCCGACCCUUCAACGUUAAGCUUUUAGGGCCACCCUGGCCACAAAUAUCUAGGGGUAGAAAAACACCAAAAUAGCCCACAAGAUUAGUUUUCUAUGUUCCGCUUCAUUUUCCCUUUGUUUUGCAGUUAAAGAAUAGGUGCUUAUGAUGUUGGGUUCUGUCAACAUCAGUUGGCUUUAAUUUUUAAAAAUGGCUGCCAUUUAUGAGUCAUGUGCUGUGGCUGGGACUGCUAAUCAUUUCCAGUGUUUCUCAUCACAGGGACCCAGUGAGGUGGAGACGGUCACAUUUUGUAGAUGAGUUGACUGAUACCCACAGAGGUUGAGAGGCUUGCCCAAGACACACUGAGCCAAGGGUUUGAACCCAAUCUGUCUGAGGAUUUAAUCCAGGAUCUCACUCUGCAUUUAGUUGUCAUGUCUCCUGAAGUCUCCUCCAAUCUGUGAUAUUUACAUAGUCCCAAAGUAUCUCUCCCAAGAUAUUUAUAAAGUACAAAGGGAAAAAAUGGUAACUUCACAGUGGAAAAACCUGACAGAUACCACCUUAACAUUACCAGUAAUAACACAUAUGAUAAUCACGUACCCCAGUGUGGUACACUGAGACAGAAAUGCAUACCCAUGGUCCAGUCAUGAGAAAACCCAAAUUGAGGGUCAUUCGCCAAAAUCUUAACUGGUGCUCCUCAAAAGUAUCCAGGUCUUGAAAGAGAAAGACUCAGAAUUUGCAUUUAAAAACAUUGCCAAGUUUGGUGUAUGCACUUUGACGCUGAAGAAAUACUUCCUGUGCUAGAUGGUCGCCAAGGAAAUACGAUAAAGAACCACAGUCUUGUUUUAUGGAUUGGCAAAUGGGUACUUCAGGCACAGGUUCUGGGUGAGCUUGUGGUAAUGGUGUAGCUUAAUAGCCAUCAUCUCUCCUUAAUGAUCUUCGUCCACCCUGUGUAAGUCCUGACAACUUUAGCUGUACAAGUAAAUACCUUACAUGACCCACAAGAUUAACUUGAAAAUGUGCAUGUAACUUUACCAGUUCAGCUAUUUAAAUCUGGGAAAAAGAAACGUUUUUCUCAUUUUGAAGAAGCUCUUGGAGGAAAAUACAUGUUAAGGUUUUCAAUGAGAAUGUCUCAGAUAAAAGCUUUCAAAAGUCCUCUGUAUAACAGGUAAAUAAAUAUCGUUCUUGUA